rnacentral:tRNA from 1 species
CCUCACAGCUCAGUCAGUAAAUCAUCUGCCUGCAAUGCAGGAGACCCAGGUUCGAUUCCUGGGUCAGGA